rnacentral:rRNA from 1 species
AUUGAACGCUGGCGGCAUGCCUUACACAUGCAAGUCGAACGGCAGCACGGGAGCUUGCUCCUGGUGGCGAGUGGCGAACGGGUGAGUAAUACAUCGGAACGUACCCUGAAGUGGGGGAUAACGUAGCGAAAGUUACGCUAAUACCGCAUAUUCUGUGAGCAGGAAAGAGGGGGAUCGCAAGACCUCUUGCUUUAGGAGCGGCCGAUGUCGGAUUAGCUAGUUGGUGAGGUAAAGGCUCACCAAGGCGACGAUCCGUAGCGGGUCUGAGAGGAUGAUCCGCCACACUGGGACUGAGACACGGCCCAGACUCCUACGGGAGGCAGCAGUGGGGAAUUUUGGACAAUGGGCGAAAGCCUGAUCCAGCCAUGCCGCGUGUCUGAAGAAGGCCUU